rnacentral:rRNA from 1 species
UACGAAGGGGGCUAGCGUUGUUCGGAUUUACUGGGCGUAAAGCGCACGUAGGCGGAUUGGUCAGUUAGGGGUGAAAUCCUGGAGCUCAACUCCAGAACUGCCUUUAAUACUGCCAAUCUCGAGUCCGGAAGAGGUAAGUGGAACUCCUAGUGUAGAGGUGGAAUUCGUAGAUAUUAGGAAGAACACCAGUGGCGAAGGCGGCUUACUGGUCCGGUACUGACGCUGAGGUGCGAAAGCGUGGGGAGCAAACAGGG